rnacentral:rRNA from 1 species
UACGUAGGUGGCAAGCGUUGUCCGGAUUUACUGGGCGUAAAGAGCGCGCAGGCGGUCGUUCAAGUCGCGUGUGAAAGCCCCCGGCUCAACUGGGGAGGGUCACGCGAUACUGAUCGACUGGAAGGCAGGAGAGGGUAGUGGAAUUCCCGGUGUAGUGGUGAAAUGCGUAGAGAUCGGCAGGAACACCCAGGGGGAAACCAGUCGACUGGGCAGCACCUGACGCUGAGGUGCGAGAGCGUGGGGAGCGAACCGG